rnacentral:misc_RNA from 1 species
GUGAAGAACGUAGUGAAAUGCGAAAAGUAAUGUGAAUUGCAGAAUUCAGUGAAUCAUCGAAUCUUUGAACGCACAUUGCGCCCGCUGGUACUCCGGCGGGCACGCCUGUCCGAGCGUCAUUUCAACCCUCAAGCCCUCCUUCGGGAUGGGCCUGGUGUUGGGGCUCGGCCGCCAUCUCCGGCGGCCGUCCCCUAAAUACAGUGGCGGUCACGUCGCGACUCCUUUGCGUAGUAGAAACACCUCGCUCCGGAUAGCAACGCGGUCCACGCCGUAAAACCCCCAAUUUUCAAUGGUUGACCUCGGAUCAGGUGGGAAUACCCGCUGAACUUAAGCAUAUCAAUAAGCGGAGGA